GAUGAACGCUGGCGGCGUGCUUAAUACAUGCAAGUCGAGCGAAAGGACGAGAAGUUUGCUGCUCUGAUGUUAGCGGAGGGCGGGAGAGUAACACGUGGAUAACCUACCUAUAAGACUGGGAUAACUGCGGGACACCGGCGCUAAUAGCGGAUGACAUUUUGAACCGCAUGGUUCAAAAGUGAAAGACGGUCUUGCUGUCACCUAUAGAUGGAUCCGCGCUGCAUUAGCUAGUUGGUAAGGUAACGGCUCACCAAGGCAACGAGGCCUAGCCGACCUGAGAGGGUGAUCGGCCACGCGGGAGCUGAGGCACGGUCCGGACUCCUACGGGAGGCAGCAGUAGGGAGGGUGGCGCAAGGGGCGAAUACCGGACGGUGGGACGCAGCGUGAGGGAUGGAGGUCGUGGGAGCGUAGAACUCUGUUAGUUGGGAAGAACAUAUGUGUAAGGAACUGGGCACAUCGUGACGGUACCUGGUCAGAAAGCCACGGCUAACUACGUG
rnacentral:rRNA from 1 species